rnacentral:misc_RNA from 1 species
GAUGAAGAACGCAGCGAAAUGCGAUAAGUAAUGUGAAUUGCAGAAUUCAGUGAAUCAUCGAAUCUUUGAACGCACAUUGCGCCCCUUGGUAUUCCGGGGGGCAUGCCUGUCCGAGCGUCAUUGCUGCCCUCAAGCACGGCUUGUGUGUUGGGCCUCCGUCCUCCUCCCGGGGGACGGGCCCGAAAGGCAGCGGCGGCACCGCGUCCGGUCCUCGAGCGUAUGGGGCUUCGUCACCCGCUCUUGUAGGCCCGGCCGGCGCUUGCCGACACAUCAAUCUUUUUUCCAGGUUGACCUCGGAUCAGGUAGGGAUACCCGCUGAACUUAAGCAUAUCAAUAAGCGGAGGA